rnacentral:misc_RNA from 1 species
GGUCCCUAGAAGUGGCUGCUAAGGUACUUCAUUGUUCUUUUGGUAGAAAAAGAGAAAUGCUAAUUUUUUGAGUUAAUUUUUUUGGUUAUUUGAUUUGCAUAUUGUACCAUUGAAUAUGAACUCUUCAAGGAACCCUAGGUUAAAAGUUCUCUUGAGUUGAAAAUUUAGAGCAAGCAGCUUCAUUUGUUUCUUCUGAGGUUUAUGUUGAAAUGAGGAAACAUCAACGUUGUUUCCAUGACCGGCCAGAGAUGCUAUGGUUAAUUGGUUAUGCUCAUGAGCAGUACAAAUACCUGACUGUCGGAGAUACAUUGUCCACAUGACAAAAUGCAGUUUGUGUUCAUUGAUUCUAUUUUUAUUUUCUAACUUGAUGUACAAAAAUGUCAAAUUAACUAGUUCUAGACUUCUAGUUGUAUAUCGGCAGCAACAUGGAAUCAUAUAUAACUGCAAUAUCAUAGGUGUUUUGCCCCUUGGUGGCAUGCUUGAUAUAUGAAUAGAGGCCUGUAUAGCACUUGAACCAAAUUUUGAAAGCAAUCUCUUUUAGUAUUGUAGAUGAUCUCUCUCUCUCUGAAUAUUUAUAGACACUCAGACACAGAUGCAUGUAUACCUGUAUAUGGAUGUCUUCAGUUGUGGAAUUUUUUUCCCUUUGGCUGUGUAGUAUAUUUAUUUUAGUGAGGUUCUUAGAAAUUGUAGAGAUGUUGUUAGUUUGUAGUUGAGUUUUACAUAUCAGCCAACUCACAAUUGAAAGCAGGGGGUACCAAUACAAUACAGCCUCUGUGGGUACCCCUUUUUCAAAAUCUCAUUUGUAUCAGCCUAUAUUAACUGAUACACUCUGAUGUGGCCAUUAUUGAUGUUUUGAGCUGCAAAGAGGAAGGAAAGGGAUUGCAUGUACCUAGAAAGAAUAUUUAACAUUUGUUCCCCCCCCCCUUCUUCAAAUCCACAGUGAUAG